rnacentral:rRNA from 1 species
CCCUUAGAUGUCCUGGGCCGCACGCGCGCUACACUGAGUGUCUGAGAUACGAGUCUGCCUGGUCCGGCAAGGUCUAGGUAAUCGCUAAAAGACACAUCAUGCUUGGGAUAGAUUAUUGCAAAUAUUAAUCUUGAACGAGGAAUUCCUAGUAAGUGCGAGUCAUCAGCUUGCGCUGACUACGUCCCUGCCCCUUGUACACACCGCCCGUCGCUGCCCGGAACUGAGCCGUUUCGAGAAAGCCGGGGACUGACGGCUUGUGGGUGCGCAAGCACUUCUUGCCGAUGGAAACCAGUUUAAUCGGUAUGGCUUGAACCGGGCAAAAGUCGUAACA